rnacentral:lncRNA from 1 species
UUCUUUUCUCCAUUUUUUAUUAAUACAUGGAACAUCGAAGAAUUAGAUUCAAGAUUAUAUCUAAUUUAAAAAAGUCUUCUUCUUCAAAUUCAUCAAUUGAAUCACCUUUACUUACUCGAUUAAAGAUAGCGGUGCUCCGGUUUACUUAGCUGUUGUUCUUGAGUAUCUUGCAGCUGAGGUAAUUCGAUUAUAACCCUAAACCGUACUCUUUGAUUUCUUCAAUUUGGGGAUUUAUUGAAAAAAUCCUAAUUUUUUUGUAUUGAUUUGUUUGAUUUUAGGUUUUGGAAUUAGCUGGAAUGG